GACGUAGGGCGCAAGCGUUGUCCGGAUUUAUUGGGCGUAAAGAGCUCGUAGGCGGCCUGUCGCGUCGACCGUGAAAACCCGCAGCUCAACUGCGGGCUUGCGGUCGAUACGGGCAGGCUGGAGUUCGGUAGGGGAGACUGGAAUUCCUGGUGUAGCGGUGAAAUGCGCAGAUAUCAGGAGGAACACCUAUAGCGAAGGCAGCUCGCUGGGACGACACUGACGCUGAGACGCGAAAGCGUGGGGAGCGAACAGG
rnacentral:rRNA from 1 species